ensembl:lncRNA
CUUUUAUCUAAGCAGAGUGUAAUGGGGUACAGAAAAUUACAAUACUGGGAUCCAGGGUCAGUGUCGCGCGCAGUGGAGAAUGCGUGUGACGUCACUGACGAGGGCGCGCAGGUGAGUCGACGCUGCAGUGACAGAGUAAGUGCUGGAGAUCUCACUCUUCAUCAUGAAUCACACACAAACACCCCGAGAUCAGGAUUUCUCUCCAGGAUGCAGUUCAGUUUAUCAGAAGAAAUCAGAAGCAGAGCCCAGCUGUGUGUCUGUGAGGAGUGAUGCUUCUUUGCCUCAUCCAGUUAAUUUUAUGAAGACUGACGAGUCUAGAGGUCAUCCUCAAAAUCUCAGUUCAGUUCAUCAGAAGAGAUCAGAAGCAGAGCCCAGCUGUGUGUCUAUGAGGAGUGAUGCUUCUUUGCCUCGUCCAAUUAAUUUGAAGAGUGAUGACACAAGGUCAAUCCUGCA